rnacentral:rRNA from 1 species
UGCAGUCGAGCGAAUGGAUUAAGAGCUUGCUCUUAUGAAGUUAGCGGCGGACGGGUGAGUAACACGUGGGUAACCUACCCAUAAGACUGGGAUAACUCCGGGAAACCGGGGCUAAUACCGGAUAAUAUUUUGAACUGCAUAGUUCGAAAUUGAAAGGCGGCUUCGGCUGUCACUUAUGGAUGGACCCGCGUCGCAUUAGCUAGUUGGUGAGGUAACGGCUCACCAAGGCGACGAUGCGUAGCCGACCUGAGAGGGUGAUCGGCCACACUGGGACUGAGACACGGCCCAGACUCCUACGGGAGGCAGCAGUAGGGAAUCUUCCGCAAUGGACGAAAGUCUGACGGAGCAACGCCGCGUGAGUGAUGAAGGCUUUCGGGUCGUAAAACUCUGUUGUUAGGGAAGAACAAGUGCUAGUUGAAUAAGCUGGCACCUUGACGGUACCUAACCAGAAAGCCACGGCUAACUACGUGCCAGCAGCCGCGGUAAUACGUAGGUGGCAAGCGUUAUCCGGAAUUAUUGGGCGUAAAGCGCGCGCAGGUGGUUUCUUAAGUCUGAUGUGAAAGCCCACGGCUCAACCGUGGAGGGUCAUUGGAAACUGGGAGACUUGAGUGCAGAAGAGGAAAGUGGAAUUCCAUGUGUAGCGGUGAAAUGCGUAGAGAUAUGGAGGAACACCAGUGGCGAAGGCGACUUUCUGGUCUGUAACUGACACUGAGGCGCGAAAGCGUGGGGAGCAAACAGGAUUAGAUACCC